ensembl:lncRNA
CAGUCAGCUGCCCUCAUUUUAGGCUGGGUUGUAGACUAACGUGAUUUCCCAGUGUGCAUGCAGCUCCCUGGAGAACAGGUUCUAGUGCUGUUCACAGCUCCCUCAGCUUUGCUGGUGCUGUAUUUAAGGCUGGAGCUGGAAGGCUGUGCUUGUGAAAUGGAAAGGAGAGAUCAGAAGAAAGGAAAGUGUGAGGACUGCUUCUGGUUGUCUCAAAAAGUAGAUGCUUGCAGGAAGGCGAAUGGCACAAAGACAUAGACGUUAAUGAGAAUUCUGUGAAAAUCAGAAGAGUUCGUGUAUCAAAGGAGGAACCAUUGUCAGAGAUGUGGCGGAAGUAAGAAAGAGCCAUCUUUUGGUGUGAUUGAUGAGGGCCGCUUAUGAGAAAAAGUGAACUGGAAUGCCAGGCAACCAUGGCUUGUGAUUUAUGCAUAUUCGGGAAGAACGCUGGAACAGCCCAAACACAGAAGUUGUCAUAAUAGAUGCACAGCUCUUCGAGGACGGCAAAACAUAAAUCUAAAAGAACCAGGGGGAAAAAAAGUUCAGUUUUUUUAAAGCUGGCAUAAUUAUAACGGCGUUUCUGCCUGCGGUUUUACUAGAAAGCAGCAUCCACAGUCAUGGACUCAGAUGACUGACCUGUGACACAUCUCACGCGAUACACGCACGUGAUACGCAAUGUAACGGUGGGCUGACCCAUACCGGGCGUACUUGCAGCGCUACUUUGCAAAUCUCUGAGCCAGUCUGGGUGGAUGCAUGGCUGCUAAAUUGUUUAGAGUCUAAAUUCCAGUCCAUUUUUUUCUUUCUAUUUUUCUUUUUUAUUGUUUACAGCAUUGUCAAGUAGACAAUUUUCAACUGAAGCUUUCUCUACUGAAUAUUCAUUUUGUUAGGUCCUUUGAAUUAAAUCCAUGGAUCUACUUGCAUGGUUUUCAAUUACAGGAAAAAAUACCUUUUCUUUUAUGAUCUGCUAAGACCACCUCUGCUUUAGGGGCAGAGGAAUGCGUACCCAUUAAGACUUGCAGAUGAAUGGAACCUUAGAAAAUCAAUUUAUUUAAGUUCUUGACAAAUGCCUGUACUGUUGUAGUAUUCUAAGAUUCCUGUAGAUUUUCAUUCAGUGAUAUUUACUGCUGCCUACCUGCAUACAAAUACGGGAUUGUAGCAUAAUACUCAUUGAAAUUCUUCUGUGUUAACAAGCUUAUCAAUCAAAAAUUAUUGGAUUUUGUAUGUUUUUCCUUACAGAAAAUUCGGUGACACAAAAUGUUCUUAUAAUUAAAAGCUCUUCAUUCUGUUAUUUAAUUUAGUG